GCACUGGGGAAAGAAACCAUUAGCGAUUACAGAAGCGAGUAAGAGCCUUGGAGAAAGGGAGAGGGGAAGAAAUGUUCGGGGUGGUGUUCCCGGAGCGGAGCUACCCGAUGGACGCGUCGGCCUUCGCGCAGAUCGACCCGCUCCACUGGGUGCUCGACAUGGCCUCCUUCGUUGGCGACGCCUACCGCGACGUCAAGGAGGUGUGCGUCUUCCUCCUCCCCGCCGCCGCCGCCUCCUUCCCGCCCGGGAAGGCCCUGGCCGUCUACGUCCAGCCCCCCGGUCACCCAUUCCUCUUCUGCGGCGCCGUCCACCCCGCCCGCCCCUCCGCCCUCCUCGCCCUCCCCUGGCCCGACCUCGCCGAGGACGCUGUCGCGGGCUUUGGCGUGCUGCAGGUCGCCGCGGGCUCCGCCAAGAUCGGCGUAUCCGUCGAGGACUUCGCCUCGCUGCCCCCCGUCGCUGACGCCGGCGCCGAGAGGAGGGCCGAGCGCCUCGCUCUGAGGGUCGGCGAGAACCUCUUCAACUUCAUGCAGUCCUUCUGUGGGGUCGAUGGCAGCCGCCUCGUGGUGCCCAUGGACAUUCUCGAUCGGUGGUUCAAGAAGUUCCAGGAGCGGGCGAAGAAGGACCCCAGCUAUCUUAAAAACUUCUCUUUGUGAAUCUAAAGGUUGAUGCAUAAUCUAGAUCAAAUGUACAAAAGCGUCUCAAGGAUAUCUGAUUAUCAAUAUAACCUUGGUGCACAUGUGGAAAGACAUCAAGAAUAUUUCUCCUUCCAUCGCCAAAGUUAUCUUCUCAUGCUGGGUGUCUCUCGCUAAUGCCAUACCUGUGUCCACCCUUUCGAAAACAUGUCUUUUAAUGUUGAAAUUGCCAUUGCUGGCAAAUUUGUUCUGCAAGCCUCAGAACUAAACUUGCCCAUUUUUAACAUCAACCAUGAUCAGUUUAUGGAGGAUCCAUAUCCAACCAGUAGAAUAUGAGUUUAACUCAAAACCCUGCAUUUUACAUUAGUUAUUCCUCUUUGUUUGCAUGUAAACAUUAAAAUUUUGAUUUCUAUAUUACAAAUGUGACACUACCAUGUUUCUGUUUCUCAAGUUAAUGGAUAAUAGAGUGCUGAUUUCUUGAAUCAGAACUAGUUCUAUAUUUCUUCUGCAUGGAUUCAAUUUUAUGUUCAACAUUGUUCUUUCUCAGAUCUCC